AUCGUCCGAUCUGCUGUACACCGACGGCUUAGAUGAAUCCGCGUCCCACAAGGGAAGAAAGAAACGGAGGCUGCUUCGGCGCCAGACGCGUGGGGCCUGCCAGUGAAAAGAAACUUCCCCAGGAAAACGCACCGUCCGGAAAAAAAAAAAACGCACGCAUAACGGCGUGGGGUGGCGGCGGCGGCCAAUGCGGUUGUAGCGGAGCGGCGGAGCCAGUGAGGCAGUCACACCGGCGCGGGGUGAUGGCGGCGGCCAAGUCGGUGGAAGCGGAGCGGAUGAGUCGGACAUGGCUGCGCCGUCCCCAUCGCCCAUUCACCCUCGACGACCUCUUCUUCAACCCCAUUUUUCUCGUCCGCCCCAAUCCCUCACCUCCGCCCGCUCCUCGUCCUCCACUGCCGCCGUCUUCGAGCGCCGGUUCGCCUCCGCCGGUUGCUGAGAUGGAGAGAGAAAUGCAAAAGAUGGAGAUGACAUGGAGGAGCUCUGCUUGAUUAUGAAAAUGAGUUUAGCCACAAAGCUCGGCAGGAUUAAUUUGUGCAGCCUUCCCAAUUUUUGUGUGUGUGUGAGCUCGGUGGUAAUCAACUGUUCCGUGUUUGCAAAUCAGGACAUGGCAUAGUCUUUUUGUAGCUAUUUUAAAUUUUGGUGUGCUUUUGGAGUAAUUGAUACUUUGUCAACAAGUUGUAGUCCAGUUCUGUACAGGCAGGUAACAGCGACAAAUCUGUCAAUCGCAUGCCUUGCAACUUCAGUAAUUUCUGUUUAGGUUGCAUUUCAGUAGUGUCCUUGUUUCUAUGGUAAUGUUAUGGUUCAGCUCUUGAGCAACCAACCAUAAAAGGUUUCUAAUUUUUCUGAUAAUGUACACCAGUGUGUUUCUGAAAAUGAGUUGCCACCCACUACCAAAUCAUAUCAUUUUUAGCUUUUAGGCUUUUUUUACAGUUUCAGUAUUUGAUUGGUAAGUUGCCGUUAGGUUUUCAGAAUGCCAAUAUAUUCUCGUCAGUACCAAAGUUGUUUCCUGAUACAACAAUUGCAUGUGCUAAUCUUCAAAUUAUCUCAAAGUGACUUCAUUAAGUUUGCUAAUUAUCUGGUGACUGGAUACGAAUAUAUGCACUAAUUGUCAUCUGCUCGGUGAAUUACUCAAGUUCAUUAAGUGCAUCUUUUUUCUUUUUCUUUUGUUAAGGUUUGCAACUGGAUUUAAGUGCUUCUCUGAUGCCCUUGACAUGUUAUGAAUUGAAAUAUUUCAUGAAGGUCUAAGAUUUGUCAAGAAAUUCCAUUAUGUCAAGUUCAAUUAAAUAUUAUCUCUUCCUUUUGUCCAGGGCGUUCAUAGAAAGCUCAAUCUCUACGGUUAUGGGGGGUAGAAAGCUUCACUCAAAUCAGGGCACACCGACGUCUUAGAUGACUCCCCGUUCCACGAGGGAACAAAAAAAAAGGCGGCUGCUUCCGCGCGCCCCACCUGCCAGUGAAAAGAAAAUUCACGGCCCAAGGAAACGCACCGCCGAAAGAAAAAAACGCAUCUCGCAUCGGAAAAAAUAGGAAUAACCACCCCGCGCCGACCCCCCCUUCUCAGCCUCAGCGCUCUGCCGGCAAAUCGGCCAUAAUGGCGUGGGGUGGCGGCGGCGGCCAAUGCGGUUGUAACGGAGAGGCAGAGCCAGUGAGGUAGCCACACCGGCACGGGGUGAUGGCGGCGGCCAUGGCGGUGGAAGCGGAGCCGGUGAGGCGGCCAUGGCGGCGCGGGGUGAUGGCGGCGACCCGACCCGUCACCACCGCCCGCUCCUCGUCCUCCACUGCCGCCGUCUUCGAGCGCCGUUGCCGAGAUGCUGAGAUGGAGAUGCCAUGGAGGAGCUUUGCUUGAUUAUGAAAAUGAGUUUACCCACAAAGCUCGGAAUUUGUGCAGCCAUCCCAAGUUUUAUGUGUGUGAGCUCAGUGGUGAUCCGUAAUCAGCUCUGGAGCAGCCAACCAUAAAAGGUUUCGAUAUUGAGUCAAAUACAGGCGUUCAUAGAAAGCUCAAUCUCUACAGUUAUAGGGGUAGAAAGCUUCACUCAAAUCAGGUAAUCAUUCAGCUGGCUUUAAUAUUUACUUUAUCAUUAAGACGAUAGUUCUCAUUUAGACAGGUUUUGUACUGUAUUUACGAAUAUUGGGUAGCAUAGGAUUGACUCAAAUCUGGUAAACAACUUGGUUUUCAUCUGUAGUUUUAUGUGAACGAAUUGGAUCCAACCAGUUCAAUUUUAUUGCCCUUUUCAUCUUGUCGUGGCAGAGGUCCGUGUGGUACAUUGCCCAAUAUUGUCUAGAACAAUAGUUGGAUGGACCAACUGGUAAGUUAUUCUUCUUCUCAUAGUCCUUUUAGGUACUCUUGGGAGCAGAUUCAGAAGUUAUUAUAUUACUCGUUUUUAUGAUGAGUAAUAUAUUUUUGUUUCGUUAUUCAAUGGAUAAAUGUUUAUUGCGCAUUCAGAAUAGCUUAUGCUCCAUCAGUCCAUCUUAACGCCACGAAGUAUACUCUUCUAUUUACAUGUUACAUCCAUAUUUUAUUCGAGUAGAUAAGUGUUGAACUCUUCACAUUCUCAGCAUGAUAUUUCAGCUUUUACUAAUUCAACCUACUACGGGUCUGGUAUCUUGCAACACAUGACUCAAGAGAUCCGUGAGUUCUUUUGGCAACAUGCUAAAUCUGAAUUUUUUUGACCCCUGCUUUUCCUAUUAGAAUAUCAGUCUAGAAAUAAUGUGUGCUGUUUCUAGCUUGGAGAUUCAUGAAAAGGAUAUGUCUAUCACUCGGAGCUUGUUAUUGUUUUUAAAGAAGCUUAUUAUUGUUCUUAUGAGAAAAUAUUCUUGAUAAGAUUAGUGAAAAGAAAGUAUGAUCACUAAUCUUGCAAAGAGUCCAAUACCUGUGUUCUCCUGCUGCAGUAACUGGUUUAUCCAUGGUGAUUUCAAGCAUUCUAAUAUACUGGUAUGUUGCUGCAUGCCUCAACUAACCCUACCUGUAUUAUUUCUUUUGCUUGCUAAGCAUCUGCAAUGGUGUGCCUCAGUAGGUUAUAGGAGAAGGAGAAGAACAUGGGAUUGUAAAGAUCGUUGAUUUUGUACUUGCUAGGAUAUAUCAAGCUCCAUUAAAAACAUUAAGUGACAAUUGGGUGAGUAGUGUUCGAUGGAUUUUUGUGCAUGUCAGAUACGGUUGGAAGUAUAAACUAAGCCAACGUAUGUACAUGCAUAGCACUUGUUGAGAAGCAGCACGUGCACACAUGCAUGCUCUCAUCUUGAGGCACAUACAUUUUGUUUGACACGAGAAAACACUCCUUUCAUGUGCAUACACGCUUCUUUAAUGAUAGAGUGUGCUGUUAGUUCUUGUACAGGACCAGCUUGAGAAUGUCACACUAGGCGUGCCAUUUUGUUUGACACGAGAAAACACUCCGGAGGCGGAGAAAACACUCCGGAGGCGGGUGGAGUGCAUCUCUACGCACCAGGGUAAGAAAAUGAAGAAUGUAGCGUGUGUAUGUGUGUUUGCGGGAGUGCCCGUGUAUCGUGAUACACAAAUAAAAAAAUACGGGAAAUGUAUUUUUAUUAAUCUCAAGGAUAAACAAAUACAAUUC